rnacentral:lncRNA from 1 species
UGUUAGUGUUUGCAUUAGAAUUAGUGUUAGGGUUAGUUUGAGGGUUAGGGUAGGGGUUGGGUUGGGUUAGGUUUAGGGUUGGGGUUAGGGUUUGUGUUAGGGUUAGCAUUAGGGUCAUGCCUAGGUUUAAAAUUAGGGUUUUGAUUAGGGUUAGUGUUAUAUUUAGGGUUAGGAUUAAGGAUAGGGUUAGUGUUAGGGUUAGCUUUAGCGUUAGGUUUAGGGUUAAAGUUAAGGUUAGCAUUAUGCUUAGGGUUAGGGUUAGUUUUAGGUUUAGUGUUACAGUUAGGGUUACUGUUAGUGUUAGGUUUAUGAUCAAGGUUAGUUUGGUGUUAGCAUAAGGGUUAUUGUUAGGUUUAGGGAUAGGUUUAUUGUUCAGGUUACGGUUAGGUUUAGGGUUAGGUAAGAUUUAGGGAUAGAGUUGGGGUUAGUGUUGUGGUUAGGUUUUGCAUUAGAGUUAGGGUUAGGGUUAGUGAUAGGGUUAGUGUUAGGGUUUGUGUUAGGGUUAGGGUUAGUAGCAGGGUUAGGGUUACAAUUAGGAUUAGGAUUAGGGUUAGGAUUAGUGUUAGGGUUAGUGUUAGGUUUAGAGUUAGGGUUAGGUUUAGUGUUAGGUUUAGGGUUACAGUUUGUGUUUGGGUUAGAGUAAGGGUUAUUGUUAGUGUUAGGGUUAGUUUGUGUUUGGGUUAGAGUUAGGGUUAGUGUUAGUGUUAGGGUUAUGGUUAGGAUUAGGAUUAGUGUUAGGUUUAGUGUUAGUGUUAGGGUUUGUAUUGGGGUUUGUGUUAGGGUUAGGGUUACUGUUAGGUUUAGUGUUAGAUUUACGGACAGGGUGUUAGUGUUAGUGUUAAAUUUAGAGUUAGGGAUAAUGUUAGGGUUAGGGAUAUUUUUAAGUUUAGUGUUAGGAUUAUGAUUAGUGUUAGGGUUGGUGUUAAUGUUAGGGUUAGGGUUAGGGUUAGUGUUAGGGUUAGGUAUAGGGUUAGGGUUAGGGUUAGGGAUUAGGAUAAAGGUUAUGCUUAGCUUUAGGGUUAGUGUAAGGAUAAAGUUUAGGGUUAAGGGUAGGGUUAGUUUAAGAAUUAGGGUUAGGGUUAGGGUUAGUGUUAAGGUUAGUGUUAGGGUUAGGGUUAGGGUUUGUGUUAGGUUUAAGUUUAGGUUUUGGAGUAGGGUUAGUGUAAGGAUAAUGUUUAGGGUUAAGGGUAGGGUUAGUUUAAGAAUUA